CGGUGGUUCUGCGUGGAAGGGCCAUCGCUCAACGGAUAAAAGCUACCCUGGGGAUAACAGGCUUAUCUCCCCCAAGAGUCCACAUCGACGGGGAGGUUUGGCACCUCGAUGUCGGCUCAUCACAUCCUGGGGCUGUAGUAGGUCCCAAGGGUUGGGCUGUUCGCCCAUUAAAGUGGUACGCGAGCUGGGUUCAGAACGUCGUGGGACAGUUCGGUCCCUAUCCGUCGCAGGCGUAGGAAAUUUGAGAAGACCGGUCCUUAGUACGAGAGGACCGGGAUGGACGUACCUCUGGUGUACCAGUUGUUCUGCCAAGGGCAUGGCUGGGUAGCUAUGUACGGAAUGGAUAAGCGCUGAAAGCAUCUAAGCGCGAAGCCAACUUCAAGAUAAGAUUUCCCACCGCAAGGGUAAGACCCCAGAAAGACUAUCUGGUUGAUAGGUCGAAGGUGUAAGUGCAGCAAUGUAUUUAGCUUAUCGAUACUAAUAGGUCGAGGACUUGACCAAU
rnacentral:rRNA from 1 species